AGAGUUUGAUCCUGGCUCAGAUUGAACGCUGGCGGCAUGCCUUACACAUGCAAGUCGAACGGUAACGCGGGGGCAACCCUGGCGACGAGUGGCGAACGGGUGAGUAAAACAUCGGAACAUAUCCAGUAGCGGGGGAUAACCUAUCGAAAGAUGGACUAAUACCGCAUACGAUCUACGGAUGAAAGCAGGGGACCGCAAGGCCUUGCACUAUUGGAGUGGCCGAUGUCGGAUUAGCUAGUUGGUGGGGUAAAAGCUUACCAAGGCGACGAUCCGUAGCUGGUCUGAGAGGACGAUCAGCCACACUGGAACUGAGACACGGUCCAGACUCCUACGGGAGGCAGCAGUGGGGAAUUUUGGACAAUGGGCGCAAGCCUGAUCCAGCCAUGCCGCGUGAGUGAAGAAGGCCUUCGGGUUGUAAAGCUCUUUUGGUGAAGACGAAACGGUUCAUGCUAAUAACGUGAACUAAUGACGGUACUCACAGAAGAAGCACCGGCUAACUACGUGCCAGCAGCCGCGGUAAUACGUAGGGUGCAGGCGUUAAUCGGAAUUACUGGGCGUAAAGCGUGCGCAGGCGGUUUGCUAAGACAGGUGCGAAAUCCCCGGGCUUAACCUGGGAAUUGCGCUUGUAACUGGCAAGCUAGAGUGUGGCAGAGGGGGGUGGAAUUCCACGUGUAGCAGUGAAAUGCGUAGAUAUGUGGAGGAACACCGAUGGCGAAGGCAGCCCCCUGGGUUAACACUGACGCUCAUGCACGAAAGCGUGGGGAGCAAACAGGAUUAGAUACCCUGGUAGUCCACGCCCUGAACUAUGUCAACUAGUUGUCGGGGAAGAAAUUCCUUGGUAACGAAGCUAACGCGUGAAGUUGACCGCCUGGGGAGUACGGCCGCAAGGUUAAAACUCAAAGGAAUUGACGGGGACCCGCACAAGCGGUGGAUUAUGUGGAUUAAUUCGAUACAACGCGAAAAACCUUACCUACCCUUGACAUGCUAGGAAGCCCGCAGAGAUGUGGGUGUGCCCGAAAGGGAACCUAGACACAGGUGCUGCAUGGCUGUCGUCAGCUCGUGUCGUGAGAUGUUGGGUUAAGUCCCGCAACGAGCGCAACCCUUGCCAUUAGUUGCUACAUUCAGUUGGGCACUCUAAUGGGACCGCCGGUGACAAACCGGGGGAAGGUGGGGAUGACGUCAAGUCCUCAUGGCCCUUAUGGGUAGGGCUUCACACGUAAUACAAUGGUCGGUACAGAGGGCUGCCAACCCGCAAGGGGGAGCUAAUCCCAGAAAGCCGAUCGUAGUCCGGAUUGUAGUCUGCAACUCGACUGCAUGAAGCCGGAAUCGCUAGUAAUCGCGGAUCAGCAUGUCGCGGUGAAUACGUUCCCGGGUCUUGUACACACCGCCCGUCACACCAUGGGAGUGGGUUCCACCAGAAGUAGUUAGCCUAACCGCAAGGAGGGCGAUUACCACGGUGAGAUUCAUGACUGGGGUGAAGUCGAACAAGGUAGCCGUAUCGGAAGGUGCGGCUG
rnacentral:rRNA from 1 species